AGAACUACGAUUAUUAUUAGCGUCUUUAGCACCUCAAGAGGUGGCUUGCUGUUACUGCAGGCAAUAUGGCUGCGCCCGUAAGGAUACUGUGUUGCUCUGUGUUAAAACACUCCAGCAGACGCUUUAGCACAACGUGUGGCCUUCAAGGGGGAGAAAAGUGGAGAAAAGAGCACGGACUUGCACGCAGUGGAACAGAAUAUGGACCUCUGACAGAUCUACCUGAUUGGUCUUUUGCAGAUGGGACACCAGCACCUCCAAUGAAGGGAAUGUUAAGGCGGCGGCAAGAGAGGGAAGAAUUAGCAAGGCGCAUCGUGAUGCUCAACUCCGAGAUGGACAGAGGCAUGGAGUCUUGGAGAGAGAAAAAAGACGAAGCUCAAAGAAUGGAGGAGCACAAAAAGUCUCUUUUGCUCAAAGCCAAAGGGAAGCUAUUAAAGAAGAAGCAUCCUCCAAGUUAGAAACAGUCCUGCGUCCAAUAGAGGGCAGCAAUUCUCCGUUGCAAGACAGUGGCGGCGCAAACGCCAUUUUGUGAUCUUGGCACUUUAUUAGCUGCGACCACAGUGAGUGUACAAGGUGUUGCAGGACACGUUCAAGUGGUCCACCGAGCAAUGAUGAGACCCUCAGACCUGAACAACCACCAAAGACCUCCAAAAGUGAGAAGUAAAUUU